rnacentral:tRNA from 1 species
GGGGAUGUGGCUCAGCGGUAGAGCAUUCACCUCGCAAGCGCAAAACCCUGGGUUCCAUCCUCAGCACCA